GGCCCGGUGGUGUAAUGGUUAACACGCAUGAAUUGGAUGCAUCUCCCCAAUGUUUCUUUGCGAGUCCUCCCUUCGAUUCGGAGUCUGGCCC